rnacentral:rRNA from 1 species
GACGAACGCUGGCGGCGUGCCUAAUACAUGCAAGUCGAACGCAGUGGGGACGGGUGAGUAACACGUUGGUAACCUCCCAUCAGAGGGGAUAACACUUGGAAACAGGUGCUAAACCGAUACGGGUGGAUGAACCCGCGGGGCAUUAGCAAGUUGGUGAGGUAAAGGCUCACCAAGGCCACGAUGCAUACACGACCGGAGAGGGUGAUCGGCCACACUGGGACGUGGACACGGCCCAGAUUCCUACGGGAGGCAGCAGUGGGGAAUCUUGGGCAAUGGGCGAAAGCCUGACCGAGCAAUGCCGCGUGAGUGAAGAAGGUUUUCGGAUCGUAAAACUCUGUUGUUAGAGAAGCGGUAUCUAACCAGAAAGCCACGGCUAACUACGUGCCAGCAGCCGCGGUAAUAC